CUUAAACUCUUACCUAAUUACAUUUUUAUAUUCGAUUGCUCCUACGCGUUUAUAUUUUUUCUCAAAAUGUUUAUUUUUUAUUUCGUGUUUUUGUUCUUGAUUUGUUCGAGUUCCUGUGACUGCAAGUCACGAAUAGGUUGUCCAUGCGACUUUGUAUCCCGAGGGGAAACCAAUCAUAUUAUUGGCACUUGUAGGAAAGUACAAGACUGUACUUAUGCUAAACAUUUGAUUUAUUAUGACCAUAAAAAACCGCAGACGUGCUUUUUCGAAGAAGACGAAAGAAUAGUCUGCUGCCCGCCUGCUGAUGUCCAUAACUUGAGGAAAUAGUAACAUGCUGCUUUGGAGUCCAGCAACUUCACCAGGCCUCUAGUGAUGAUCCACAGGAAC